rnacentral:rRNA from 1 species
AGUCGAACGGCAGCACGGGAGCAAUCCUGGUGGCGAGUGGCGAACGGGUGAGUAAUAUAUCGGAACGUGCCCAGUCGUGGGGGAUAACGCAGCGAAAGCUGUGCUAAUACCGCAUACGAUCUACGGAUGAAAGCGGGGGAUCGCAAGACCUCGCGCGAUUGGAGCGGCCAAUAUCAGAUUAGCUAGUUGGUGAGGUAAAGGCUCACCAAGGCGACGAUCUGUAGCUGGUCUGAGAGGACGACCAGCCACACUGGAACUGAGACACGGUCCAGACUCCUACGGGAGGCAGCAGUGGGGAAUUUUGGACAAUGGGCGCAAGCCUGAUCCAGCAAUGCCGCGUGCAGGAUGAAGGCCUUCGGGUUGUAAACUGCUUUUGUACGGAACGAAACGGUCCUUUCUAAUACAAGGGGCUAAUGACGGUACCGUAAGAAUAAGCACCGGCUAACUACGUGCCAGCAGCCGCGGUAAUACGUAGGGUGCGAGCGUUAAUCGGAAUUACUGGGCGUAAAGCGUGCGCAGGCGGUUUUUUAAGACAGGCGUGAAAUCCCCGGGCUCAACCUGGGAACUGCGCUUGUGACUGGAAGGCUAGAGUACGGCAGAGGGGGGUGGAAUUCCACGUGUAGCAGUGAAAUGCGUAGAGAUGUGGAGGAACACCAAUGGCGGANGCAGCCCCCUGGGUCGAUACUGACGCUCAUGCACGAAAGCGUGGGGAGCAAACAGGAUUAGAUACCCUGGUAGUCCACGCCCUAAACGAUGUCAACUAGGUGUUGGGUGGGUAAAACCAUUUAGUACCGGAGCUAACGCGUGAAGUUGACCGCCUGGGGAGUACGGCCGCAAGGUUAAAACUCAAAGGAAUUGACGGGGACCCGCACAAGCGGUGGAUGANGUGGAUUAAUUCGAUGCAACGCGAAAACCUUACCUACCCUUGACAUGUCCAGAANCCCGA